rnacentral:rRNA from 1 species
AGUGAACGCUGGCGGUAGGCCUAACACAUGCAAGUCGAACGGCAGCACAGUAAGAGCUUGCUCUUACGGGUGGCGAGUGGCGGACGGGUGAGGAAUACAUCGGAAUCUACUUUUUCGUGGGGGAUAACGUAGGGAAACUUACGCUAAUACCGCAUACGACCUACGGGUGAAAGCAGGGGAUCUUCGGACCUUGCGCGAUUGAAUGAGCCGAUGUCGGAUUAGCUAGUUGGCGGGGUAAAGGCCCACCAAGGCGACGAUCCGUAGCUGGUCUGAGAGGAUGAUCAGCCACACUGGAACUGAGACACGGUCCAGACUCCUGCGGGAGGCAGCAGUGGGGAAUAUUGGACAAUGGUCGCAAGCCUGAUCCAGCCAUACCGCGUGGGUGAAGAAGGCCUUCGGGUUGUAAAGCCCUUUUGUUGGGAAAGAAAAGCAGCAGGUUAAUACCCCGCUGUUCUGACGGUACCCAAAGAAUAAGCACCGGCUAACUUCGUG